UACGUAGGGUGCAAGCGUUAAUCGGAAUUACUGGGCGUAAAGCGUGCGCAGGCGGUUUUGUAAGUCUGUCGUGAAAUCCCCGGGCUCAACCUGGGAAUUCGCGAUGGACGCACUGCAAGGCUAGAAUCUGGCAGAGGGGGGUAGAAUUCCACGUGUGAGCAGUGAAAUGCGUAGAGAUGUGGAGGAACACCGAUGGCGCA
rnacentral:rRNA from 1 species